UACGGAGGAUGCGAGCGUUAUCCGGAUUUAUUGGGUUUAAAGGGUGCGUAGGCGGGCUGUUAAGUCAGCGGUCAAAUGUCGGGGCUCAACCCCGGCCUGCCGUUGAAACUGGCGGCCUCGAGUGGGCGAGAAGUAUGCGGAAUGCGUGGUGUAGCGGUGAAAUGCAUAGAUACCACGCAGAACUCCGAUUGCGAAGGCAGCAUACCGGCGCCCGACUGACGCUGAGGCACGAAAGCGUGGGUAUCGAACAGG
rnacentral:rRNA from 1 species